GGGUGAGUAACACGUGAUAACCUACCUAUAAGACUGGGAUAACUUCGGGAAACCGGAGCUAAUACCGGAUAAUAUAUUGAACCGCAUGGUUCAAAUAGUGAAAGACGGUUUUGCUGUCACUUAUAGAUGGAUCCGCGCCGCAUUAGCUAGUUGGUAAGGUAACGGCUUACCAAGGCAACGAUGCGUAGCCGACCUGAGAGGGUGAUCGGCCACACUGGAACUGAGACACGGUCCAG
rnacentral:rRNA from 1 species